GAGCUAAUACAUGCGAAAACGCUCGACUCACGGAGAGAUGCUUUUAUUAGAUCAAAACCAAACAGACUCGUCUGUAUAUUUGGUGACUCGAAAUAACUUUGGGCUGAUCGCAUUGCCUUGUGCAGGCGACAUUUCCUUCGAAGGUGUGCCCUAUCAACUGUCGACUGUGGUAUAGACGACCACAGUGGUUUUGACGGGUAACGGGGAAUCAGGGUUCGAUUCCGGAGAGGGAGCCUUAAAAACGGCUACCACAUCCAAGGAAGGCAGCGGGCACGCAAAUUACCCAAUGAACGAAGUUCGAGGUAGUGACGAAAAAUAACAAUACAAGACUCUUCCGAGGCCUUGUAAUUGGAAUGAGUACACUUUAAAACCGUUCCCGAGGAUCUAUUGGAGGGCAAGUCUGGUGCCAGCAGCCGCGGUAAUUCCAGCUCCAAUAGCGUAUAUUAAAGUUGUUGUGGUUAAAAAGCUCGUAGUUGGAUUUCGGCAGGCAUAGGCCGGUUUGAAUCGCUUCAAUACUGACUUUUUUGCCUGUGUGUUUUGCCAGAAUUCGGCGGGUGUUCUUAACCGAAUGUCCGUUGGAGCUGGCAGGUUUACUUUGAAAAAAUUAGAGUGCUCAAAGCAAGCUUGAUUGCUUGAAUAUUCGUGCAUGGAAUAAUGAAAUAGGAAGUCGUUUCUAUUUUGUUGGUUUUCGGAAAUCGACUUAAUGAUUAAUAGGGACAGUCGGGGGCAUUUGUAUUCAAACGACAGAGGUGAAAUUCUUGGACCGUUUGAAGACGAACUACU
rnacentral:rRNA from 1 species